rnacentral:lncRNA from 1 species
UAUAUAUAUAUAAACCUACUACUGCUAAGCCAUUCCACUGCCGUCUUCUCUACCGAAAAGGUAACCGUUUCCUACGCUGAUGAUCAAUUGUUUUGUCUCAUUUUGUCUCAAAGUCGUAUGACGCCCCCGUAUCAUUCCUGUUUUUAUUCGUUACUGUAAAUUUUAUCUUCGUCUCUUGUUUUUCUGUUCGUCUCUGUUGUCACAUUCUUUCCUUCUACCAAGCAAAUCUAAUGCCCAUAGCUUAGCUUUUCCUUGGGGCUGGCCCUUUCGGAGCAAAUCUCAGAAUUAAACAACCGAAAUUUGCCAUGAUGAAUCGGUUUCUGACUGAAGAAUGAAGGCUCUGAAUUACUGUCCGUUUUUCCGUGUUUGUCAAUUCGUGAAUUUCACGUUCUUUAUAUAUAAGUUUUAUAUAUAUAUAUAUAUAUAUAUAUAUAUAUAUAUAUAUAUAUAUAUGUACAGCUUCCAAUAUAUAGGUUUUCAUUUCUUUUUCUAUCGAAGAGUCGAAUCCAAAACCUUAAUUUUUUUCUUCUCGCAUCAAUAUAUACAUUUUUUUUUUUUGCAUUCUAUUCUAAUAUUUGUUGAUGCAGACCAUCAGGAUUUAAAUUUUUGGGGCCAGAAAGCUUUGGUCCAUCCCUGAGUAGCUGUGAAUAGUUGUUGACCCCUGAGAAAGCACAAGUAUACAAAUUACCUCAUCGCGUUUCUAGUUUCAUAUUUGGGACACAGCAAAUGCUACAUUCAACAGAUAUUUGAGACUGCAGUCAACAAAAGGUCAGCCAACUAAUUAGAAAAUUUUCACUCACUAAUACAAUUAGAAGCAUAUCCUCCCACUCUCUCUCUCUUCUGUUACAAAUGCAACUGUUUUAAACUUGCAAGUUGUCCAUCAUACCACCAAAACCUUCUUUUACUACCAUUCUACAACUAUUACUAUGCUAGCUCAUUCUACUCUUUCCAUGUCUCUUCUAUUACUAAAGGCUACAGCUCUUUCUACACUGGGCUCGAAAACUGUGCAUUAUAUACUUUGAAACCAGCCCGAUUCUUUACUUUGUGUGUCUCACUUCACGCACAAAAAGCCUCCUCACUAAAAACUUCAACCAGUUCUUUCUUCUUAGUUUGUAACCCUCUGAAAUCCCAUUUUUCUAUCUUCAAAUAUCAAUCCUUGGAAGUUCAAGCUAAAUAUCAAUUUUAUCGACCUCCCUAGUCUGGGAGGGAUUGUGAAUGUCAUGGGAACUGAUCUUCCUCCCCCAUUUAGUUUUUCAUACUCUUCGAAAUAAAUACCACCAGCAGCAGCAGGAACAACAACAGCAAUGGCUACAACAACAAUAACAACAUGGACAAGAAGAGCUAUUACUGCAUCAGUUAAAUCAUCAUGAUCAUCGUCGUCGUCGUCAUCGUUGUGGUCAUCGUCGUCGUCGUCGCCGUCGUCGUUGUGGUGGUUUUCGUGAUCAUCAUUGACAACGAUGACGACGACAACUGUAGCAACAACAGCAGCAAUAAUCUCACAACAAUACCAAUAGCAUUAGCAACAAGCACAACAGUAAUAACAGUAAUACCGACAACCAUAAACAAGAGCCUCAACGAAAUCACCAAAAGCAGCAAAACAAGGAUAACAAGCACAGUGACUAUGAGAAGAAUAGUACCCGCCCCCACCACCACCACUACCACCAUUUCCACUAACAACAACAAAAUCAACAAAAAAUAACAACUGCAGUAAUAACAUCGUUCAGUUUUUCAUCCGGGGUGAGUCAUAUAACAAAUUAAAAUGGCGACUGCAAUUUGUUAAGCCUUAUCAUCACUUGAGGAUUUCAAAAAAAAAAAAAAAAAUUAAUAGCUGCACUCCAGUUCGGACAGCAAAGAAAGGUGAAGGUAGGAGUAGGAGAUUUAGAUAAUCAAGAUAACUUGAUAAAUAAACGCCUUUAAAUACAUGCAUUUAAAUACAUUAAAUUCAUGUAUAAAGCUUUUAAACGUCCAUAUAAAAUCCACAGUAUUGUCUAUUACAAAUUAAAUUGUAUCUCUAUGCCAUUGUCAGUUAGAAAACUGAUUUAUUACAAAGGUCUUUUAAAAUGUCAAAAUGCAAAAAGAGAAUGACUUCAGUUCGAUUAUAGUUACUCAUUCCAUCAACAGUUAUGCCAUGUUUUUUACAAUAGAGCUUAUGUAUGUAUGUAUUUAUAACUGAAAUAAUGAUUGCCCUUCCUGUUACUAUCUAUCAUACCCUUCAUAAAUAACUGAUACAUCACACCUCCUGAAGAUGAAGAUGGCAUGAAAGUAGAGAUGCGAGAUAAAAAAAAAAAUGGUUGAAUAUAGUUGAAUUAUUUGUUCUUGUUAAAAUUCCGUUAAAACGUAUCCCAGUUCAAAAUAUGAAAAUCAAUGGAAAAAUACGCUUCAAGUUACGAAAUUGCGGGAAUUCCGUACAUGUUUCUAAUAGACAUUGCGUAUCACAUGCGCUAUGGUAUACGGUAACCGGCCGGCGCGAAGUGAUCAUGAAUUUCUGAAAAUUCACACAAGUCGGCUUCCUUUUCUCAUAACUUUUGAAAAAAAUGGAUAUUUUUAAACGAAAUUUUCUUGGAAUACCCCUAAGGGCGUGUUGAUUAUGAUUAUUUCGGAAUUCAAUGCGAAAAAAAAUUGGAAAUUCAAAUUCCCCUUUCCACACCCGGGUAGAAUUUUCACAACAAAUUUCAAUAUAAUCGUAUUUGACACCAUAUGAAGUGAAUAUUUGUAGAAAAUUUCAUUACAAAAUAUCCAUUUUUUCUGGAAGUUAUGAGGAAACAAAUCCAGUGGGGACGGGGUACAUUUGUGUAUGUACGCCUAUUGCAUUAACAUUAAUACUAAGAUUACAUUGCUAUUACAUAUAUCUACAUAUCGACUUGUUUCGCUUCAUUUUCAUUUUGUAUGUAAAAAUACUUAAUUAUAUAACUGCAUGCUCGGUUUGCUUCAGAAAGGUGAAAUAAUGUGAAUGAGAUUAGCUGAAUUUUUCACUGCAAAUAUAAACAUAUUGGGUUGGCAAGAAAGUAAUUUCGUUUUUUUUUUAGUGUGAGAUAAAAAUAUUUGUUUUCUUCAUACAAAGAAUGAACUUCAAUCAAUUAUAUAUUUUCCAUUUUGUUCGACGACCUUUUGCCACCUUUCUGGCAACUUCAUUAUUCCACGCUCAUAGAACUUCUGGUUCUUAUCAGCUGAAAGCUGAAGCGAGUGCAAUUUCAGGCCAUCAUCAUUAUUGAAGUUUCACCAAAGAAUUUUGCAAACUUCGAAAUAAAUGGUAAUCUGAUGGUGAGAGGUCAGGGCUAUAUGGUGAAUGUCACAUCACUUCCCAACCAAUCUCCACUGAUUUUUCUCCAGUUAGCAUUGAGGAGUGUAGUCUAGCGUUGUCAUGAUGGAAUACGAUUCCUUUACAAUUUGCCAAUACUGGCUGUUUUUCUGUGUUUGCUUCCUCUAGUUUCAUUAGUUGUUGACAGUAAACAUCUGAAUUGAUCGUUUGGUGCCUUGGAAGCAGUUCAAAAUACACAACACCUUUGUAAUCCCACCAAAUUGACAGUAUGACCUUUUUUUGAUGCAAAUCAACUGUCGAUGUGGUUUGUGCUGGUUCAUUACGAUUGGACUAUGAUCGUUUUCGGUUGAUGUUAUUGUAGACAAUCCAUUUUCCUCACUCGUGAUGAUUCGUUUCAAAAAAGGUCGAUUUCAUUGCGUUUGAGAUGCAUAUCGCAAAUAUUGAUUCGUUGUGCUACUUCGUUGAUUCGUUGGAGGACCCAAGUAUCAGGAUUCUUAACGAGUCCAAGACACUUUAAGUGAAUUUCAUUUGUUGUGUGUAAUACAUUUAAUCUCUCUGCAAUCUCUCGCCCAGUUAUAUGACAAUCAGAUUCAGUUAUGGCUUGACCAGAGCGUUGGCUAUCUUUGAAUGAAAAAUCUCCUGAACGGAAUGUUUAAAACAAUUUCUGACAUGGGCGUUCUGUUAAGCAAUCAACAGUAUAAACUUCGCAUAUCUCCUUGUGAACCUCAGCAAGUUUCUUGCUUUUACGGAAAUAAAAAAAAGCAAAAUAUAGGGAAAAUGUUUGUUUUUGCACUCCAUGUUAAAAUUGACAUUGAACUAACAGCUGUGAACAAAAUUACGCGCAAUUUGUUUCUAAAGUAAGCUAAGAGUAACGGCUAUCAAAUGUGAAAAGGAAAAAAGAUCAUAACAUUGACAAAAGUCAUUAAAAAAAAAUCGAAACUCUAUCUAUUUGCGAAAAACAAAAUUACUUUCUUGCCAACCCAAGUGAUAGGAUAAUGGUAUGUCCGAUGAUGUUGUGUUUAAUAACGAAGACUAACUGUAUUAAAAGUGUGUGUGUGUGUGUGUGUGUGUGUGUGUGUGUGUGUGCAUGUGUGUGUGUGUGUGUGUGUGUGUGCGUGUGUGUGUGUGUGCGUGUGUGUGUGUGUGUGAAUUUACUGGCAAUAUUUAGGCAGUAGUUUGUUAUUAUUUAUAAAUGCACGUUCUUUUAACAUAAUUACAAUUCAUCUUAUAGCUCUAUUUUACGUUUCCCAAUUUUGACGUUCCACUUUCCUUUAUAUUGCAUCUCUUGCAAACGCUCUUUUCACAUGCAUGCCAUAUGGGCAUACCUACACAAGUAUGCACCCCCUCGAAUUUGUUUCUUCAUAACGUCCAGAAAAAUGGAUACUUUUUAAUAAGAUUUUCUACAAAUACGCCUCUUGUGGUGUAGAUUCCGAUUACACCGGAAGUUGUGAAAAUUUUUCCCGUGGCUAGGGAGAGAAGAUUCGAAAAAUCUACACGAGUUGGUUUUCUUUCUUCAUAACAAAAAGGAGGGGUUAAUUUUUUUAAAAUAAAAUUCUCUACAAAUGUCUUUCAGAAUGUAUACAUUAUGGUAUAUAGGAAUUUAAUGUGGAAAAAAUGGUGGGCACGCACACAUCCAUACUAACACACAUCUCAAAUUUACGAAGUUUCAAGUUGCAUUUUGUAGACAUAUGUGAUGUGUGUCAAUAUGUAUGUAUGCGCACUCAACAAGAAUAUUUCCAUAAAAAUUUCAAUUUAUUAGAAAUUUAUACACUCUGAAAAGUAUUUGUAGAAACAUUUAUAAAAAAUGAUAUCCUUAUUCAAGAAAAUUACGAUGCAAGAAAGCUGACAAAUGCGAAUUGUCCGAAACUCCUCUUCCUAGCUCCGGAAAAACGUUUUAUGAACAUAUUUCAUUAAAAAAAUAUUAAUUUCUCUGGUAUUUAUGAGAAAACAAUUUCUUGAGAGACACACUUGGGCGGGUUUGCUGCCAUAUGUAUAACUUAUGUUUAGGAAUAUAUGACACAAUGAUAAUAUCAAAUCAAUGUUGAUCAUGCUAUCGUAAAUAUAGCUUGUUCGUACUCGUGUGUGUGUGUAUACAUAUAUGCAUAUAUAUAUAUAUAUAUAUAUAUAUAUAUAUAUAUAUAUAUAUAUAUAUAUAUAUAUAUAUAUAUAUAUAUAUAUGCAUAAGCUGUCCGACGAACGGCAUCGUGAAACUCAGAGUAACAGGUUUUGUUGAAUUUUCUGCUGCUUUAAAUAAAGCAUAUUACUCUACCACUGGUAUUUGAGUACUCUUUUUUCCACCUUGUUUCACAUUUAUGUGUUUACUCCGGUAUAUAUAUAUAUAUAUAGAUAGAUAGAUAGAUAGAUAGAUAGAUAGAUAGAGAGAUAGAUAGAUAGAUAGAUAGAUAGAUAGAUAUGGCCGCAGUCAAAUGACUGAAACAAGUAAAAGAGUAUACACACACACACACACAUAUAUAUAUAUAUAUAUACAUGCAUAUAUAUAUAUGUAUACACACAUAUACAUAUACAUGUACAUAUACACAUACGCAUAGUCGAGGAAAUACUUUAGAUAUGCCACAAUUCCACCCACUUGAGGCCAAAACGCAGAACAGGGCUAAGCAGCAAAAUGCUGGAAAAUACUUUAUUGUCAUGUAAAAAUGGCGGCUUCACAGGGACAUCACUGUGUCGACUGAAGAGACGAUUGAAUGAAACUAGGGUCUGUGUAACCACUAUGUGUUUAUAGGGUCCGUGUAACUACUGUGGGUUUAUCGAACGUAUAUUAGAAAUCUAAUAUGCACGUUUGACUGUACCUUGAUUGUGGCUGAAAUAGUCUAUUCUUCGCUGAAAUUGUUUUCAUAUAUAUUUUUUUAAUUACAUUAUUUUGAAGUUAAAAAAAUUACGAGUAUUUUUCUCAAGUCUAUGGUCUUGAAAAUAUUCAGAUACAAAUUUUUUCAUUCAAAUUCAUUACAAAACUGAGAUGGUUGUUUCUCAAUCACAUACACAUUGUCUAUCUCACAUACACAUACAGUACACACACUCACACACACAUACUCUCUCUCACGCGUUGACUUCCUCUUCCCCUCACUUUGUCAUUUUCUCUUUCUCUCUCUCUCCGUCACACGCACACACCACGCACGCACACCACACACACACACAUACACACACACACACAGACACACACACACACACACACACACACACACACACACACACACACAAACACACACACACACAGAUAUUUUUCUUACACGGUCCGUUUACGUUGUAGAUAUUCUGUCAUGAUUUCUUCACAGUCACCAAGGCCUUUUACGUUCUUGAUUAGUUAUAACGCACAUCAAGUACCGUAAACAGUAAAUAGUUAAUACUUACGGUUCAAAUUUUCGCUAUUCUUAUUCAUACGUUUGACUGUUUCUUAUUAAGUCUAGAAGACUUGAAAAUAUUCAAGUAGAAUUUUUACGUAAAAUUUAUUUGAAAUUUAUAUUAUUUACAGUUCAAAUUUUUACUAUUGCCUCCAUAGAGUACAUAUACUCCCACACGCACCACACACAUAUACACACAAACACACACACUGUUUCUCUCACAUGUACCCAGAUGAAUCAUUUUGCGUAUAUUAUACAUCGCUUUAUGUUUUAGAUACUUAUUUCUUUCAUUUUUUUAAUUAUUUACAGUUCAAGGUUUCAUUAUUUUGAUUCAUUUUUUCGAUUUUUAAAAUUAAUUUUGUUGAUUUGUUUUAUUUUCCUCAUACAUUAUUACAUUGAUUUCAUUUGUGUGACAUUCAAUAAUCUUGUAGAAAUUGUUUUCUGAGAAUUGUUCCUCGGUUCUUUCAAUGAAAUGAUUAAAAAAAUCAAUUAAGUAUCUAUGAAAUGUUUCCCAGGAACAACGAAAGAAUACUGUUCACUCAUUGCUGUGAGAGAAGGAGCUAAUGUCACUUUACUACAGAAUUCAUUGAUUCUCUUGAACAGUCUGGAUUGCAACAACAUAAGCUGGAAUUGAAGAGAGGAUCUCCCGUAUUUUCAAUGAGAAACUUAGAUCCUGCAAGACUUUGCAACAGAACACGGAUGAUAGUACAAGAAAUGCUGGAGAAUCUAAUCGUAGCUAAGAUCAAUGUGGGUACAUUAAAAAAUAAUAUUGUCAUGAUUCCUAGAAUUAAGCUCAAAAUAUUAGGUGAUGAUGUACCUGUUGAGAGGACCCAGUUCAUGAUGCAGUCAUGCUUCGCAAUUAUUAUACGUAAAGAACAAGGAUAAACCAUGCAGUGUGGCAUAAUUUAUCUUGAGAAACCAGUAUUCCAGUAUGGCCAGCUGCAUGUGGAUAUAAGUCGGAGAAUGAGGAAUGACAAUGGUAAAGUAUUCUUAAAGGAAGGCAGGUCUACAAGAAAUGUUAUCAUAAGUGUUUUUCUUUAAGCAAACAAGUGGUACAGUUGUCUUUCUUCUUUAAUACGAAAAGCGUUAUCAAUACCCUUUCAGCUAAUGCAGUCAUAGUCGCAGUUUUUUUUUAUGUGUUUAACGGAUAAUAUUAUUUGGAUAGUUCUAAUUAAAGAAGCCCAGAAGUUAGAUUAAAUCCUGAGUGUUCGGGCUAAAUUUGAAAGUUUGCAUAAAAGGAGGGAGGGGAACCACAAUAUCCUAUUCAAAAUAAAAGUAUUUAAAAAAUCCCAAAAUGAAGCAUAUUAUAGCUUAAAAAUAAUAGUUUACCCAAAGUAACUGCUUCCAGCUUCCAUUAAGGCCGGAAGAUGACUCUGAAAUCCUGUGAAUGCGUUUCUCAGUUAUAUAUAUAUAUAUAUAUAUAUAUAUAUAUAUAUAUAUAUAUAUAUAUAAAUUAACAGUUAUCGCCAAGCUAAUAUGGCAGUCCAUAAAUAUAAGACUAAAGCUGCCGUUGAUUAGCUCCAAGAGGCCAUCGCCUCUUAUAUAGCUAGCUAUAUGACACACGAACCUGUGUCCAUUAUAUCCUUCGAACAGGGGAGGUCAGCUGCUUCCCCUUGUUGGUCAGGCAUCUGCAGACAUGUUUCAGGGUAUUUGCAUAACAAAACAAAAGACGGCAUUGUCAGGGCUGGAAUGCAUUUUUUCGCAUACGUGCUUGAUUAUGACAUAUUUUGCGCGUAACAAAUUGCAGUUUAGACACCUUACAUAUACACAUAUGUGUAGACAUCAGCGGAAUCAGAUGAAAUAUCCAUUAAGUGGCUGUUGUUGUUGUGGUUGUUGUUGUUGUUGUUGUUGUUAUCUUUGUUGUUUGCUUCUUGGCGUAACCUGAUGAAAGGCAUUCUAGUCCCUCACCAUUCUGUCCUUUAGUGUUUUGCAAGGAAUCUGGAAAAACAUUUGGAACGCGUGCUUUCCUAAGACACUAGGUUGAAAUUUGAAUAUCUUUGGCUGCUAUUUCUUGUAUAUCGUGUAGCCAUGUAGACGCUCUUUUAUGCAAAUCGAAACCUAAUCCCGUACUAAGUGUAUUACACGGUAUCCUCCACACAAAGUGACCAGCAAAGGGGAAAAUCUGUGUGGCAUUUCGAUUUGCUAGAAACAAUAGUCGAAUCUCAAGCAUACUGUACAACAGUGGUUUUCAACCGUUUUUCACCCAUGGAUCCCUUUCAUUUUUUUUACUCGGGUAGACCCUCGUACCCAUUCAAUGUUUGUAAAAAAGUGUUUAUUAAAUUUUUAUUAUUCAAAAUUAUUAGGAUUUAUAUAAAAAAUUUUUUUAAUAUUUUGUGUAUUGUAGAAGUAUAACCAAUUUAUUGCACAUAAAUUUUAACAAUUAAAUCUUAUAUGGACCUCUAGGGCCACGUGGACCCUGGUCUUUAAAAAGUGGACCCCUUGGAUGAUGUAGUCUGGAGUUCACUCGUAAACGAUAAAACGAGAUGGUUAUGGCUGGAAUGUCACCACCACUGCUAAGCAUCCAUACACGUGUGUAUGCGUUUGCACACACACACACACGCGCGUAUAAAAGGGAGCUCUAUGUGGUCGCUCGAUCUGCUAGAAGCAACUACGAAACCUAACUGCCUGUUCCUUAAAAUAUUAAUUUCACAUCAAACAUAAAUCCUAUGAAAAGGCAUAUGAUGGGGAAAAAAGGUGGGGGUCGGUGGGAUGAUCAUGAUUAGAUUGUCUUUGAUUGUAAGUAUGCUCGAUAAGAGCUUAUAUCGGAUUACCCAACUACAAUAACGAAGGAUUGUGGAAACGAUGAGCGCUGUGGUGAUGGUGGUGACGACGACAACGAUGAUGAUGUUGAAUAAUAUGAUGGUGGUGAUGAAAUGAUGAUGAUGAUGACGACGACGACGACGACGGCGAUGAUGCUUAACCCCAGGUCAGACCUGAUUCAGCAGUCCUAUUUUCAAAGGCGUUCUAGACGUGAUCAUUUCGUACGCUGUGUAUGUAGAAUAUUGUCUAAUUGUUUUUACUUAUUUUUUUUCAAAGACGGCAGAGUAUAAUUCAAGGUUAAUCGGCAACAAUUUCUUGAAGUUGAAGCUCCUUCAGUAGCUUAUGAUGAUCGUGAUGAUAAAUGAUUGUGAUGGUGGUCAUGGUGGCCACCAAACUGUUGCUACUGCAAAUUUUUACCAAAUAUCACUGCACAGACAACUAGAAGAGGAGUAUGAAGGUAGAAGAGCACUCACAUACACCCUCCAGUUAUCACUGUCUCUUUUCUUUCCUGCUUAUACUCACACUUAUAUUCGUACAUAUACACAUUUACCUCCCCACUCAUUCACUCACUCACUCACUCGUUGAGUACAUAGUUGUCUUCGCCUGUUAUAGCUUUCACCAAUACCUCUCAAUAUCUGCCACCAUCACCAUCAACUCACGCCACCGUCUCCUAUCUCGUCGAAGAAAUCUCUCCGUGGUCAUUUAAUUUGCUAGAGCUAGCAGCCACAUCUCCCUAAAAUAACACCCUACCAUUAAAAAUAUAUAUUAAAAUAAAAUAAAACAAACCGAAACGAGGUAUUGAAAUUAUAUAGUCCUAAAUACACUGUCCCUGACAAGAAAAUGGAGUGGUCACGGUUGGAAAUCUUUUCAUUAAAUAUCUACUCAAUCAUGGCUGACCUGGGGCUAAACAACUACAGUGACAACUACCUUUUGCCAUCUAACUCUCGUCUUCAUAUCCUUACUACCUCCUACUAACAUUUCCGAUGCAAACUCGGUGCAGUCGUUCGACAUGUUAAAAGCAACAGUCAAGUUUCCCGCAUAUCGACGCACCAUAUUGAAAAAAAGAAACAAAGUAAGAUUGCACAAUUUUGUUAGACAACAACCUUCAACUACCAACUCCGGAUUACCUCACCGCUAAUUCUUAUCCUCCAUCCACAAUCAGCCAAUCCUUCCUCUCUCUCUCUCUCUCUCUAUCUUCUCUCGCUCCUCCUAACUCGCACUAGUCUAUUUUAUUCUAUUCUGUUCUCAUCUUUGUUUCUCCCACUGCCUUCCCACGCCACCACCCGUCUCAUCAUCAUCAUCACCACCACCACAACCAACAUCACCAUGGUCAUUGUCGUCAUCAUCAUCAUCAUCACCAUCAUCAUCAUCAUCAUCAUCAUCAUCAUCAUCAUCAUCAUCAUCAUCAUCAUCAUCAUCAUCAUCACCACCACCACCGUCGUCAUCGCCAUCACCAUCCAUAUACUUUGUAGCACAGCACAACAACCACACGCACAUAACCAACUAAAAAAGAAAAAACAGCGAAAUUUUCCCUCGAAUCACAUCCUACCGUUUUAAAUACUGAACACAUUUGACAGUGUAUUCCUAGAUAUCUCUAAAACACUAAAAAAAAAAAAGAAAAAAAUCAAGGAAAAAAAGCAAAUAAAAAAAUAGGGUCACGGUUGGAAUGCAUUUCAUCAUAAGUCUGUCUGGUCAGGGUUGACUUGGGGGCUUAACAUCAACAACUGCCAACAACCAAAUAGCAGUUUCCAACCGAGCCACUACUACAACCACCACCACCGACAACACUAACAACAACAACAACAACAAUAACAACAACAACAACAAUUACUACUACUAAUACUACUACUACUACUACUGCUGCUGCUGCUGCUGCUGCUGCUGCUGCUACCACCACCACCACUACUACUACUACUACUACUACUACUACUACUACUACUACUCACACGGUGAUACCCCUACUAUAACUGUCACAAUCACCCCGCCCUAUCCAUGGCUAACAUCUCACACUAUCACCUCUAACCUUUUGAUCCCGUCGUCACUAGCACACCUCCCUCCCACCUGUGUAUCCCACCCGAUAUUUUCAUCCUAACCAUUCGCUGAAUACAACCGCCACCAACCACCAUCGCCAUUAUCAUCAUCAGCAGCACCAUCAUUAACAUAACCAUCACCAUCAACCCCUCCAUUAGCAGUUUGUGUAUUAAUUGUGUGCGUCUGUCUGUCUGUCUGUCUGUCUGUCAGCCUGUCUUAAUUGUCCUUCUAUGAAGUCAUCCGACUGUCUGUCUGUCUGCCUGUCGUUUAGUCUGCCUGUCUUUCUGUUUGUCUGUCCGUCUGCCUCUUUGGGAAUCUUUCUAUUAAUCUGUGUGUCGCUUCAACUGUCUGUCUGUUUGUCUGUCGGUCAGCCUGUCUUAUUCGGAAUUUUGCCUGUCUGUCUGUGUCAUUUCGACAAUCUUGACAGCCUGUUUCGUAAUGUCUGUCUGUAUGUCACCCUGUCGUUUCAACUACUUGACUGCCUACCAGCCUGUCUGUCUGUAUGUCUGCCUGUCUGUCCCAGCGUCUGGCAUUUAUUGAUCCAGUCUCCUCAUCUUCCUAGCAUUUCCAGACUUUUUACCCUCCUUUCACCUAUUCCUCCAUUUCCCCUUCCUCCUAUUCAUAAUCCUUAUUCACAACCACAGUCACUCACUCACUCUUUACUCUCCUCAAAUCAUACAGAUGUCCACAUACAUAAACACAUAAACACGCACACAUGCAACCCCACCUCCCUCUCUCUCUCACUCACACACAGUUUUUUCCUUUUCCUUUGUCUAUCCAUUACACUUUUCCUGUUUAUUUUUUGAAUAAUGUAUCUCAUAUCUUCAACUUAUUUCCCCUUUCUCAUUGUCUCUUUUUCGAUUUACAUUAAUACAUAUAUAUGCGCGCGUGCACACACACACACACACACACACAAACAAGCAAAUACACUCAAUCAACCACACGCAUAAUCACACACAUAAAAUAUACAAUAGCACUGAGAAACACCGCAGGUUCUCUUCUGCAAGAAAGACAUAGAGCUAAAUGCAGGCUACUGUAAUUGUAGCAGCAAGAAGGUUAAUUUAUUUUACAUAAAAUUGAAAUUAUCGUCCUCUGCAUAUCAUCAGUAAAUUUUCGGUGAAUUGAAAUUUCAAGAGUUACUUCCCUUAUUCCUAAUGAGAAACAUUUUUCGUUAGCACUAAUUAUAUUUUUCUCUCAUUAGAGUUAUAAUUUCACUUAAUUAAAACGUAAUUUUGAAUCGCCACCUCAAAUAUGGUAACCGGCAAUUAAUUAUAUCUCUUUCAUGGGUAACUCACCUUUCACAAAAAAUUUCCAGUAUCAUUAUUUUAAUUUGGUUUAUCAGCGUUUGAUUUUCAGGUAUUUCAAUCGCAGAGGAAUUCAACUAACGAAGGCAAGACCAUCUGGUUGAUAAGCCUGCUUUCUAACCAUGUAGUCACGAGUUUAGUCCUACCCACCUUGAGCAAGAGUCUUCUUCUAUAGCCCCAGACCAAAGCCUUGUCAGUGGAUUUGGUCGACAGAAACUGUAAAAAGCUCGACGGGUAUAUAUAUAUAUAUAUAUAUAUAAGGUUGUUUAACAUGAAAUGUCGUAUUUUUAAUUACUUGUUAUUUCAGUCAUUUAAAAACUCAAUUAUGUAUUCCUUACAUUUAAUAUUGACUCUUUUUCUUUCUCAACAAUAUUGGCAUACAAAAUUCUCACCCGCAAACCUUAUGAAACUGAUAACAACCAAACUGUAUUGACUGAUUUUCUCGUAUGAGUACAAACUGGGUCACUCAGCUGCAGACACUCUACAAAAUAUUAAGCGGGACUUUGGUAAUCGUUUUGUUGACAUCAGAACUGUUCAGAGAUGGUUCCAUAGCUCUCGUUCAGGACAUGGUAGCCUUGAAAAUAAACCAAGGUGUAGGCCAAAAUCAGUUAUUCGGCAUGAUGGAUUAAAUGCUUUGGUUGAACAAAAUCCGAAAACAAAGGUUCGAAAACAUUCGUCAGAACUCCCAACAUCGCACCCAACUGUUUUUAGACACCUGUAAAAAUUGCACAAGUCAAGAGAACGGAUAGGCUUGUUCCAUAUCAACUGAACGAGAUUUAAAAAAAAAAACAAACAAAAAAAACAGAUGCCUCGAAGUGUGCUCCUUAUUGCUUUCUCGACUGGAGAAAGAUUAUUUUUGCAUCAAAUCAUUACCUGUGAUGAGGAAUGGAUACUUUUUGACAACUGCAGAACAGGACAGUGAUUAGAUGCUGGAGAGUCACCUAAACACUACCCAAACCCACCAUUGCGCCCUAAAAAGUUAGUGGUUGUUGUAUGGCGGUCUGCGAAAGGAGUUAUUCAUUAUUCAUUUUUGCAAGAAGGAAAAACGUUAAAAGCAACAUCGUAUUGCCUGGAAAUUGACUGUAUGCACGAGAAUUUGAAAAAGAAGCAACCCAGACUAGUGAAUAGAGAUGGCCCAAUUUUGCUCUACGACAAUGCACGUCCUCACGCUCCUCAAGCUACGGUUCAAAAGUUGCAAAGCCUGAGUUAUUAGAUUUUGCAACAUCUCCCCUAUUCCCUUGAUAUCUCUCCAACUGAGCAUCACUUUAAAAAGCAUUUUGAGUUUUUCAUAAGUAAUAAAACAUUCUUAAAUAGAGAAGAGGUAAUUGAAACAUUCCGGCCGUUUAUCACAGCAAAAGAGGAUUAUUUUUUAAAGAUGGAAUAUAUGAUAUGGAGAAACGUUGGGUAAAUGUCAUAAAUAAACAUAGAUCAUAUUUUGAUUAAAGAAAUCAGUUCCCUAAUACUUCUGAAAUAUUUUAUUGUUACCUUUCAAAUAUUGUUACCUUCAUGUGAAACAACCUAAGAUCGUUAGCCACUACAAACAUUUUUUUCUCUCCUUGUUUCUCUCCUUUUUUUUCCGUGUACCGUUCUGUAGAAGAGCGUAGGCUCGAAACGUAAAAGACUUUUUCUAUUCCUGAGCGUUAUACUAAUACAUAUGUUUGUUUUGUACACCACCUGUCUUUGUCUUUCGUAAACUUUCCCUAUAUAUAUAUAUAUAUAUAUAUAUAUAUAAACAGGGUGUGGUGAAUCAACUGUCGUCUAAAUUACGCAAAAAUAAAAAUAACACUAACAUCUCAUUUUAAUAGAUAUAUUUACCAACGUUACAUAAAAAAUAUCUUGAAAUACUAAAGAGUAAAUUUAUAUAAUAAAAUCGCUAUUGGCUUCAACUACGGUCUCCACACUUCGGAAUCUCCUCCAGCUCUUCUGGACCGUCUUCUUGUUUAUGUUGGUCAAUGCUGCCAUAAUCUUUGCCUUCAGUUCAUCUUUGGUGUUACAAGGAGUUUUGUUGGUCCCUUGCUCAACUGCGCCGCACAUAAUGAAGGGUUUGCACUCUGAGGAGUUAGGUAGCCAGAUGUUAGGGGUGAUGUGGUCACAGCAAUUGUCUGACAGUCAUAACUGUGUUCUCCUGCUUGUGUGGCAUGGUGCAGAGUCCUGUUGCCAGAUUAGGGUCUUCUAGCAGUCACCCUCUUGACCCAGCGCAGCACUACCUCCUCCAGGCACUUGAUGUAGACUUCCAUAUUGAGUCUGUGGCCGUGUAGGAAGACAAAUGGAGGCAUAAUGUCGCCAUCAC